rnacentral:lncRNA from 1 species
ACAUUAGGGAGCUACCAUUUGAUUUUUAUGGGGGGGGGCUAGGAUGAAAUUUGAAAAAAAUAGGCAGGACAGGAGUUUUGAGUUAAAAAAAAAAAGGCAGGAUGAGCAACUUGGUAAAAAAGAAGGCAGGAUGACUAUUUGUGUAAAAAAAGUCAGGAUAAACUAGUAAAAAAAAAAGGCAGGACCAAAUAGAGUAAAAAAUAAAAAGGCAGGACAGGGAUUACAACUAAAAAAAAAGCAGGACAAAAUUUUUCAUCCUAGCCCCCCCCCCAUAAA